UAGAGAUCCUAUUAAAUUACUAGAGUUAAUUAAACCCUCAAAAAUUCCAGAAUGGAUUGUGAUUUGAGGGAAUGGGGACACGAUGGGUAGACUUUUCGUCGCAGCGAUUAUACUUUAUAUUGACCACGCAAGUGGCCGCUUUAACAAUGAAAAUAAAUGUCUUCAAAAAUGGAAGGCAGUCGGGAGGAGAGAAGGCCCAUGGAGUUGAUGGAAGAAUCUUUUAAUUCAUGGCCACUUGCUCAGCUGGGCCAGGGGCGCUUUAAUUAGGUCAGGUGGAAAUGGCCGACAGAUCUCAACUUCAUAAAAGGAGGAAAUCGCCAUCGCCCGAUCUCGUUGCUUUCUCUUCCUUAGCUCCGUCUAAUCCAGACGAUCUCUGCGUCCAUGAAUCCACUACAGACUACCCAUAAGAUCCAGAUGACCACUAGCAAUGAAACCAGUAUGGCACUUGCUACUCCCACUGCUACCCACAGCUUCCAGCCUAGAAGCAAACCCUCAUUGGAGUGGGGAGACCAAGUUACUGGUUGGAGGGAGAUCAAGG